AAAAAAAGUGGAGACAACGUUUUGGCUCCUCUCUGAGCCUUUAUCAAGACUUGCUCAGAGAGGAGCCGAAACUUUGUCUCCACUUUCUU
rnacentral:miRNA from 1 species